UUGAUGAAUACAUGACAAAUUCGUAUAUCCUCAAAGAUAUGGUUUGAGGGUCUCUACAGGGAACCGUAAAUUCCCGGCUACGAAUGAGGAUGUUUUUUGA
rfam:Brevibacillus sp. CF112 PMI08_contig_22.22, whole genome shotgun sequence.